rnacentral:lncRNA from 1 species
CCCCAUUGUCGCUCUGUGUUGGCAUGUCCAAGUUCAGAGACGAAGUUCGAGAUGGGAAUAGGGGAACCCCUAGUACAGGCUCAGUAAGGGCUGGUGGUUACUGGCCGCCUCUGCCUCUCAGCUGAUGGAGGGAACAUGGUUCUGCAUUCACACUUGUGGGUCACUUCCUGACUGGUAGACUAUCCCCAUGGUCAGACACCUUGAUAGGCUGUCAGGGGCCUGAGAGCCUUUUGAUUCUCCAGAGGCAGAACUCUGGAUCCCACAAUGCCUGGCUUGCAUCUUGGGUAUUCAGUUUUACUAAAUCAUGCUUGCAUGUGGUUUGGCAUCUGAGCAUCUGGACGGGUGGUCGUGAAUAGCACAUGUGACAGUGGAAGGCCUUUGGCGGGUACACUGGUCCCUUCCCUGUGAACUUUCCCGGGAGUGUUCUCCCUAACCUUCCUUGUUUGUUGUCAUCUGAGCCUCCCUUUUCUGUUCUUCAAGCCCGAGGGAAGUAACUUCAAUAAAAGAGCCUCAAGAAAACUGAGAGGAGGCUGAUUAACUUAAAUCUGGUGAGCUGACUUCAAGUGAGUUCGGCUGAUUGACUUAAAGUAGUGGUGUUGGUUCAGGAAGAUUGAGUGCCCUGGGAGACUGUGAGAGAGAAAUACCCCCUUCAGUCAGACAGUUGCUUCCUCUCAGAGGGAGAGGAAAAAGGAAAUCAGACUGCCAUAUGCUCAAGUCAAAUUCAGCUCCAGUGUUUCCUCAGGGAGCAGGGAGGCGGGGCUCUGAGUCGCAGUUAGAGAGAACGGCCGCUAGAGGGCGCCAGAGCGCAGGUUGAGCCCAAGGGCUGACUGCUGUGUGCUGGCAAGUGCAAGCUCAGAGAUGGGUUGGGGAGGGGAAAGGUGGACCCAAGGAUGCCCAGCAAGAAGGUCAGGGUUACAGCCCGACUCCGACUCUAGGUUCAGGUGGCCUUGCCUGGUGGGGGAGACAUAGUUCUGCCUUCAUACCUGGGGGGGUCACUUCCAGACUGGUUGGGUUGACUGCUGGCCAGUUUGACAGGCUGUCUGAGGUCUGACUGCCACUUGAUGCUCCAGAGGCAGAACUCUGGACCCAGCUGUAUCCGGCUUGACUCUGGGACAGGCACUUUUCCAGAAUCAGGCUGGCAUGGGUUUCCUCAUCUGGAGAGCUGGGCUGGUGGUAGCUCAUGGAGUGUGUACAAGUCGAGGUCCUUUAGCAUGCAUGCAGUUCCCGUGGCUCAGAACUGUCUCUGAAGAGUUCUUUCCCCAAAUCCAAAUCCUGAUUUUUUUUCCAUCUGAGCAUCUCCCGUCAUUUGCCCCAAAGGGAAGAACGUUACCUGAACCCAGCUCACAGAAAGUAAGACAGUGCUGACGAAUUUAAAGAUGAUUUGUUUUUUAAUAUGAAUUUUAUUGGAAUAUAGGUGACUUACAGUGUACUGCAAAGUUAAUCAGCCAUACAUAUACAUAUGUAUCCAUUCUUUUUUUCUUUUUUUUGUCUUUUUGCCUUUUCUUGAGCCACGCCCAUGGAAUAUGGAGGUUUCCAGGCUAGGGGUCUAAUCAGAGCUCUAGCCACCGGCCUAUGCCAGAGCCAUAGCAACGCCAGAUCCAAGCCGAGUCUGUGACACACACCACAGCUCACAGCAAUGCUACUGAGCAAGGCCAGGGAUCGAACCCGCAACUUCAUGGUUCCGAGUCGGAUUUGUUAACCACUGAGUCACGAUGGGAACUCCUCCAUUCUUUUUCAGAUUCUUUCCCCAAAUAGGCUAUUACAGAGUAUUGAAUAGAUUUCCCCAAGCUAUAUAUAGCUACUAUUGUUUCCUUGUUACCCAUCGAUUUUGUAUAUAGUAGUGUGUACAUGCCAAUCCCAACCUUCCAAUCCAUCCCUCCCCCCUCUUUUCCCUUUGGUAACCAUACUUUUUUUCAAAAUCUUUGAGUCUGUUUCUGUUACAUAUAGUGAUGGCUUAGACUAGAGAGGUAGUAGGAGAGGUAGGGAGAAAUGACCCAAUUCUGGAUGUAUUCAAAAGGUAGACAUCGCAUCAAAGUAUCUUUUGAUUUAAAGACAAUUUCUUGACUUAGAGUGGGUUUCUGCUGAUUGACUUAAGGUAGUAUUUUCCAUAUGGAGGAUUGAAUUUUUUGGAAGCCUCUGAGAGGGACACAGCCCCCUUUGUAAGGCAGCUGAUUGUGAGUUUGGCUUCUGGAAUGCAGUGUGUCAAUGGUGGUAUUUUGGGGGGUGGGCUUUGCUCAUUCCUGUGCCCUUUCUAUCCAGAGAUCUCCACAACUUCCUUCCUCCCUCUCCACCUGAGUCUCUUCCUCCUCUGUGGGGUCAGUUGUUAGAGGGAACCUACCUAAAACAGGUGAGGUGAGUAACAACUGGGUUCUCCAUGAUUUCACACUGAGUCCCAGAGCUGAAGGGUGCUGAUGAUUCAAAGCCUGCUCACAUGACUUAACAAGCGGGGUUGCUGAUAUUAGGGAGUGGGGUGGUGUCAGGGCCCUGGCUGACUUUAAGAACAUUAACCCCACCCCACCCCCUAUGGUGCAUUUCAGUGCACUGAGAGGGAGAGGACUAAGGAAAUCAUGCUGGCUCAUGCCCAAGGCCAGUGCAGACCAGGGUUCUGCAGUGGGAAGCCGGGGAAGGGUUGGGAGUUGCUGUUGAAGCACAUGUCUGCCAGAUGGCGCCAGAGCGCCAGCAGAGCCCCCCCUGCAGCUCCAUGGCUGCAUCUCCAGGUUCAUAUACACAGUUGGAGAUGGAUUUGGGGAAGCCCAAGGAGUUGCCCCAUGAUCUGUGUUUGGGUACAUGGUACCCCUGACCCCAUGGCCCAAUGUGCCUCACUUUCAGAGAGGGGACAUAGUUCUGCCAUUACACCUAUGGUUCAGUUCCUGCAUGAUCUGGGAGCAGUGGCCCAGUGGCAGAGAAUUUGAUGGGGUGUCUGUGGUCUGAGUGCCAUUUGAUUGUUUGGAGGCACAACUCUGGGCCCAGAAAUACUUGGCUUGAAUCCUGGCCAUGUACUUUGCUAGAAUCGGGCUGGUGUGGAGUUUGGCUUCUGGAAAGCUGGGCUUCAGGUCAUGAAUGCAGUGUGUCAAUGCCGUGAUAUUUUGAGGGAUGGGUUGUGCUUAUUCCUGUUCCCUUUGUCUUUAGAGAUCUCCAUAACCUCCUUCCUCCCUCUCCUUCCGCUCCACCUAAGAGUCUUCUUCCUCUGCUGGACCCCUGUGUCAAGAAACCUACCUAGAUCCAGUUAACAUGAAUAAAGGCUGGGUGGUCUUUGAUUUCAAGCUGGGUCCCAGGACUGUUGGGUGCUGAUGAUUCAGUGCUUGCUCACUUGCUUAAAAAGCAGGGUCUCUGAUUUCAGGGACUGGGGCAGUGUCAGGUGGGGUGACUGCCCUGGCCAACUUUGAGAUAGUUCUACCCCGCCUGUAGUGCAUAUUAGUGCACUGAGAGGAAGAGGAGUAAGAAAAUCAUGCUGGCACGUGCCCAAGGCCAGUUCAGCCCCAAAGUUCUGCUGUGGGAGACAGAGGAAAGGCUGAGGGUUUGUGUUACAGCAGCUGGCCACAAGAUGGCGCCAGAGCACCAGCAGAGCCCAUCUGCUGCUCCCUGGCUGCACCUUCAGAUUCAGAGAUGGUGUUGAAGGUGGGCUGGUGACCGCCCAGGGACGUGCCCAGAGUUUAGGCUGGUUAAAGGGCGCCCCUGACUCUCAGGUCCAAUUGCCUCUGCUCAGGGAGGGGACACAGGGCAUUUCCGGCCUGACCGGUGAUGCACAGAUCAGAGAUAUUGACAUGUCCUCCAGGGGCUGAUUGCCCUUUGUUUUCCAGAGGCAGAACUCUGGACCAGAAUCAUCUGUUUGAAUCUUGGGCUUGCAGUCUUCAAGCCUCUGGCUUGUGUGGGGUUUGGCAUCUGGAAAAAGGGGCUGGUGCUGAUGAACAGAGUAUGCAAAAAUGGUGAUAUGUCAGUGGGUGGCUGUGCCCAUCCUUGUGCUUUUUCUCUCAGGAUCCUCCAAAGCUUCCUUCUUCCCUUUCUACCUGAGCCUUUUUAUCCUGAUCCCAAGCUCUGUUCUGGGGACAUGACCUCAACCUAGGUCUUGUGAAUUAAGAAAGGAUGAUUGAUUUAAAGAAGUCUUCAUGACAUAAUGGGUGGGGCAGCAGACAGUUUUCAUGUACUGGUUUGGUGUAGGUUGGGGUGAGUGCUGUGGGAGACUUUAGGAGAGAGAAAUACCCUGUUCUGUAAUGCACUUCACUGUGCUGAAAGGGAGAGGAGGAACAAAAUCAAGCUGGCACGUGCCAGGGCCAGUGCAGCCCCCUGAGCGGGAUGGGAAUCAGAACAGGUGAGAGUUGUUGUUAGAGCUGAUGGCCACCAGAGGGCGCCAUGGCACCCACAGAGCCCGCCUGGUGAUUCCUGUCUCUACCUCCAGGCUCAGAGAUGGUGUCCGAGGUGGGUUUGGCAGAAGCCCCAGGCCGUGCCCAGAGAUGGGAGUUGGUUAUAACAUGUGAUUGUCGUUCCAGCCCAAGUUGCCUCACUUCACAGAGAGGACAGAGGUGUCCCCUCAGCAUGUGCUGGGGCAAUUCCAGCCUGGUAAGGUGUCCUAGUGGCCAGUUUGACAGGUUGUCUGGUGUCUCACUUCUCUAAUUUUCCACAGAGGCAAGAGACUCUCAAUAGACUCUUGACCUUGAAACACCUGGUUUAACUUUGUGCUUGCAAUUUUUCAGGUACAGGUUUUUCUGCAUGUUGACAUGCGGAACACAGGGGCUGCUGUCCUGAACCUGCAGUGUGUAAAAGUGGUAGUAUUUUACAGAGAGAUGUUUCUUUUCCCUGUGCCCAUUCUCUUGAGAAUUCUCUCCAACUUCCUUCUACCCUUUCUGUCUGAGCCUCUUUCUCCUCUACCUUACCCCUUUUAGGGGCACCUACCUAAAACCAGGUAAAGUGUAUCGAGUGUUGGGGGUUAUUGAUUGAAAGGUGGGUCACAGGAUUCAAGGAUGCUGAUGGAUUUAAAGCCAGAUCAGGAGACUUCAAAAAUGGGGUGACUAAAUGAUUAAACGUAGUGGAAUGGGGUAGCCUGGGGUGAGUGCCCUGGGGACGUUUGAGUCCUACCCCUCUUUGAAAGGUAGUUCAUGGUGCUCAGAGGGAGAGGAGGAAAUCACGCUGGCAGGUGCCCAAGGCCAUUGCAGCCUGGGUUCCGCUGAGACAGGAGGAAGGGCUGAGAGUUGCUGUUAGGGCACAUGGCCACCAGAUGGCGCCAGAGCAGCAGCAGCGCCCCCGUGCAGCUCCCUGACCUCAUCUCCAGGCUCAGAACAAGCAGAAGUUCCCAAGCCCAGGCUGGAACCCAGGCCACCCAGGCAACUAGAGCCACAACAAUGACAUCACACAAUCCUUAAACUGCUGAGCCGCAAGGAAACUCCCUCUUUACCUAUUUAUAAUGCAGUUGUUCAUUUUAUAGCUCCAAUCUACUGCAGGUCACCUGAUAAGAGGGGACACAGUUCUGCUAUCACCUCUAUGGAUCCCUUUCUGACUCAUUGGGCUGCUCAAUGUCUAAACACUCUGACAGACCAUCUGGAGCCUGAACAGCCUUUGGGUUCUCCAGACACUGAACUCUGGACGCAGAAACCCCUGGUUUGAACGUCGUGCAUGCAAUUUCCCAGUAACAGGCUUGCGUGGGGUUUGGCAUCUGGCAAUCUGGGCUGGUGGCUGUGAAUGGGUUGUGGAAAUGCAGUGGUUCUGUGGUGGUCAGGCAGUGCCCAUCCCUGUGAAUUACUAUGGAGUGUUGUCAGCAAAGUCCCUUAUUUUGUUCCAUCUGAGCCUCUCCAUCCUGUUCCCCUCUGCGGAAAGUUCCCUUGCCAAAGUCAGUUCCUGAAGCUGAAAAGGAGUUGACCCAUUUUUAAGCCGGUUAACAGACAUGAGGCGCAGCAGGCUGAUUUAUUUAGGUUGUGCUGUUGGAUCAGGAGGACUGAGUGCCCUGGGAGACAGUGAGAGAGAAACACACCCUUCGGUUGUUGUGCUCAAAGGGAGAGGAAGCAGGAAACCAAGCUCCCUGGUGCCUCUGACCCUGCAGCCCAAUUUGCCUCAAGUCAGUGAGGGGUCAGAGUUCUGCCAUCACAUGGUCUAAUUCAAUUCCUGUCUGGUCAUGUGGCCCAAAGAUUAGAGAGUUUGACAGGAUGUCUGUGGUCUGAAUGUCCUGUGCUUGUUUGGAGGCAGAACUCUGGGCCUAGAAACACCUGGCAUGAAUGUUGGAGUGGAGGUUUCUGGAAUCAGCCUGCUGGGGAGUUUGGCUUCUGGAAAGCUGGACUUCAGGUUUAGAAAGCAGUGUGUCAGUGAGGUGGUAUCUUGUGGGGCAGGCUGUGCUCAUCACUGGAUCUCCACAACCUCUGUCCUCUCCACCUGAGCCUCUUCACCUUCUGUGGGACACCUAUUAGAAGGAGCCUGUCUAGGGAGUUCCUGCUGUGGUGCAGUGGAAAUGAAUCCAGCUAGUAUCCAUGAGGACUUGGGUUCAAUCCAUGGCCUCCCUCAGUGGGUCAGGGAUUGUGUGUUGCUGUGAGCUGUGGUGUAGUUUGAAGAUGUGGCUCAGAUCUGGCAUUGGUGUGGCUGUGGUGUAGGCUGACAGUUGCAGUUCCAAUUCGACCCCUAGCCUGGGAACCUCCAUAUGCCCUGGGUGCGGCC